AGCAGCCGCGGUAAUUCCAGCUCCAAUAGCGUAUAUUAAAGUUGUUGCAGUUAAAAAGCUCGUAGUUGAAUUUCGGGACCAAUCUGCCGGUCGUGCCUCCGGUACGCACUGGUUCUAUUGGUUUCUCCCUUCUGACGAACCAUGAUGUCAUUAAUUUGGUGUCAUGGGGAAUCAGGACUGUUACUUUGAAAAAAUUAGAGUGUUUAUAGCAGGCUCACGCUUGAAUACAUUAGCAUGGAAUAAUGAAAUAGGACGUUUGACCCUAUUUUGUUGGUUUCUAGGAUCGACGUAAUGAUUAAUAGGGAUAGUUGGGGGCAUUAGUAUUCAAUUGUCAGAGGUGAAAUUCUUGGAUUUAUUGAAGACUAACUACUGCGAAAGCAUUUGCCAAGGAUGUUUUCAUUAAUCAAGAACGAAGGUUAGGGGAUCGAAGACGAUCAGAUACCGUCGUAGUCUUAACCAUAAACUAUGCCGACUAGGGAUCGGAUGAUGUUAAUUUUUUUAAUGACUCAUUCGGCGCCUU
rnacentral:rRNA from 1 species